UUUACAAGAGUUGCUUUGGUUAUAGUACCUCUUCAUAGCAACAGAACAGUAACUAAGAAGUGUCUAAUUCUGGUGGACAACCAAUAACAGUGGCAACAACCUGUGUUAUUUUAGGAGCCUCUGGAGCCUGCCUGGACAAUAAUUCAUAGGAAAGUAUCACAUAACAGGCUGUCCUGGUCAGGUUUUUGUUUUUUUUUUUUUUUUUUUGGUUGGUUGGUUGGUUUUGGUCUUGUCAGUUUGACACAGGGUAGAAUCGUCUUGGAAAGAGGGACCUGAAGUGAGUCAAUGCCUCCUCCAUUCAUAUUGCCUAUAGGCAGGCCUGUGGAGGCAUUUUCUUUCUUAAUGAUUGACAUGGGAGGACCAAGCCAUCUUGAGUGGUGCCACCCUGAGUACUUAUUCUGAGGAGUGUAAGAGAGCAGGCUGAGCAAGCCUGUAAGCAGCAGCUACCCAUGGCUUCUGCUUCAGCUCCUGCUUCCAGGUCCCGGCCCUGACUUCCCCUCAGGGAUGCAUAUCUGGAAGUGUAAGCUGAAGCAAACUCUUCCUUGCUCAGGUUGCUUUUGGACUUGGUGUUUAUCACCGCAACAGAAAGCAAACUAGGGGGCUGGUGAGAUGGCUCAGUGGGUUAGAGCACCCGACUGCUCUUCCGAAGGUCUGGAGUUCAAAUCCCAGAAACCACAUGGUGGCUCACAACCAUCUGUAACAAGAUCUGACCCCCUCUUCUGGACUGUCUGAAGACAGCUACAAUGUACUUACAUAUAAUAAAUAAAUAAAUAAAUCUUAAAAAAAAAAAAGAAAGAAAGCAAACUAGGACACUCUGCCCCUGCCCCCUCUAUCCUCUUCCCCACUCCCCACCCAUCCUUGUAAACCGUUGUAAUCUCAGACGGAGACUGUGUGAAUAAAACACAACCUAAAGAUGCAAUCUCCACUGUGCUCACUGGCCUCCAUUGUGACAGCUAUCACAAACUCCAGUGUUCCAAUUACAAAACCAUGAACCAAAAUUGAUCAAUCUCUCUCUUGCACACACUCACACACACACACACACACACACACACACACACACACACACACACACGAAUGCACGCAUAUAGAUAUACACAAGAAUGCACACACAUCUAUGUGCACACAUAUGCACACACCAUCACUCUUGCUUCUGUUUCUCUCUUCUCUGUCCUCUCCCUUUCUUUUCUCUCUUCAGUCCCCCAUCUCUCCUGUCACUGUGUAAUCCAGACUGGCCUUGAACUCAUUAUGUAACCCUUUCCCACCUCCAACUUGAAAUCCUCCUGCCUCAGCUUCUCAAGUACUGAGAUUACAGGCUUGGGCCACCAUGCCCAGCUAACCCUUUCUCCUGUUAAGUUGAUUGAAGUAUUUUGUUAUAGUUAUAGAAAGUUGUCUAACACAGAAGUGGUCCCUCUUCUUCUAUUUUGUAAAAGAGACUAUACAGAACUCCUAUUAACUCUUUUAAAAUACUUUUAUUUGUAUUAAUAUUAUGUAUGUGCCUGUGUGAGUUAUAUGUACCAUGUGUGUACAGGUGCCUUUGGAGGCCAGAGGGGAUCCGACCCUUGGAAUUACAGGCAAUUGUGAUGCACCUGAUGCAAAUGAACCUGGAGAUCAAACCUGGUUCCUCCUUUGAACCAGAACAAAGACCAGUAUAGCAGAAUAAUGCACCUUAAGGUGCAGUAGUGCCACAGAUACCUUGGCAAUAAGCAACAGCUCUCAAACUGGACUUACAACCCACUCAAUAAGUGGGAAAUCAUGCCUGCUACUAGAAACCUAGCCAACUGCCCAAGGCUAGGGACGUCAUAGAUCAUGGAGAAGAAUCUCCACCACUCUAUUGAACUAGCGUAAUCCCCGACUACAUUCUAAAUAUUUAUCAGUGUAGUUCUCUUCCCUCAUUGAGGAAACUUCUCUUUCUAGAUGGCAGAUUACAUUACAGAAAACUAGAACUGAUCAGAAUGCAGACAUGUAGAGAGCCCAGUCCCAACUGUACAUCUACAACCAACACAACCCCUGAUCCUAAGACUCGGGGAGUGUGGAAGAGGAAGAGGGGGAAAGAUUUUGUGAGCCAGAGAAACAAAAAAGUUUGAUGUGAGAAUGUGUGUCCUGGAACUGUCGGAGCAGCUACACCCAUGAGAUCACACAAACAUGCAUGCCUACAUAUGUCCUGAACAGGAAUAAUACCGGGAGAGUUGCUAACGUGGAAGAGAGAAGCUCACCAAGUCCUCAACACUCGAAAGAACUAGAAGCAGCUAAGGAAGACAGAGAGUAGGAGAAACACCCUUUCCAGGAGAGAAAGCACCAACUGCUGAUCCAGUAUCAGACAGUCAGCCCUGGAAAUAUAUACGCACAAGUAACAUUAUAUGGGCCUGGUAGGUUCUGUUUAUGUAUUUAGGAAUAUAGAUAGGUGGGUAGAUAGAUAUCUUUGCAAAUUUCCGCAAACUCCUAGGUAAUUUUCCUGUCUCUACUGCUCGCUUUGCAAAGAUGAGCAGAAACAAAAGACAUCCUGACCUGAAGGUAGAAGAGGAGAACCCAGCCCUGGAAGUUGUCCUCUGACUUCCACAUGUGCAGUGUAGUAUAUGUAUGCUGGCACUCACACACUUACCACACACACACACAACCCAUACCACACACACACACACCACACCAUGUGAGUGCACACAAUAAUAAAUUCAUGAUGGCUUCUUUUUUGACCUGUGAGCUAUUUAGCCACGUGUUGCUUUGAAAGGUUCAGACAUUUUCCUGUUACUGUUUUGUCAUUAAUUUCUAGCUUGAUUCCAUUGUCGUUAGAGAACACAUUCUGUAUAACUUUAAUUCUUUCUAAUUUGUAAGAGAUUUGAGGUUUGACUCAUGUGAUGGUUAGUGUCGACUUUUAACCUGAAAACUCUUAAAACCAGUUCAGAGAUGGUUCUCUGAGCCUGCCUGUGAGGGAUUAAUCUGGAUUAGGUAGGUUGGUGUUGAUGUGGGGAGACCCAUUUUAGUUGGACCAUUCCCAGCAGGAGACCCUGGACCUCUCUAAGAUGAAGAUAGGGAGCUGAAUGUUAGCAUGCAUGCAUGCAUGCAUGCAUCCAUUGGGCUUUUCUCAUUGUGGAUGUGACAGCUGGUGUAAGUUCCUGCUGCCUUGAGUUUCUCUCUGGGAGGGAAACUGUACUGUGAAUAAUGAGCUAAAAUGAAGCCUUACGUUUCCUUGGUAAGGAUUUUUUGUAUCACAACAAGAAACAAAGGAAGACAACCCCCAGGAUGUGGUCAAACUUUGUGGGCGUCUUCAAGCACCUGAAACAAAUAAAUGUAUAGUCUGUUGCUGUUUCAUGAGUCAGCUAGAAAUCAAUCAAGUGCUGCUGGCUGAGGGCAACGCUGAAUUCUAUACCUCUGCUUAGUCAUUCUUCCAAAUGAUGAGAGGCUAGUGAAAUCUUCAGUUUAAGAGAAAAAAGAAAAAGAAAAAGAAAGAAAAAAAUUAAAAAAAAAAAAAGAAAUCUUCAGUUUGUCCUUUCCAACCCAUCAGCCUUUGCUUCAUGUAUUUUAACAAGUCUAUUCUCAUGCACGUACCUGUUUAGGACGGCUGUGAUCUCUUCGCGAUUGGCUCUUUUAUCUUUUCACAAUGGAAAGGGAACAAGGAGAAAACUCUGAGGGGGUGGGGCAUCUCAUUGGUGCCAGAUGGGAGUGGAAAGCCCUUUGCUAUGUUGCCUGUGUUUGAAGAAAGGUAAUAUUUGCUUUUCUUUUUUUAAAGUUUACUUAGAUACAUAUGUUUUUAAGUAUGGCUGAACACAUUUUUAAGUAAGGCUUUGAGGAAACAAACUCCCAGGACAUAGUAUUUGGAAACCUGGUUUAAACUACACUCUGGUAACUACUGACAAGAUAGCAAACUCACCCUUUGACCCCACACUUGUAGGACACCAAAGACGUACACACGUGUGAGUGGUGACGUUAAAAGCCAAAGGCUAAAAAAAAGAUCUGCAUGCCCUUCAGUAGAAGGCUUGUUACAUAAUUAUAUGAUCCCCAGCGAGGAAUAGCAAAAUGGCUCUGUUUUUUAAGUUUAUUGUGUGUGCAUGUAACACAUCAGUGAAUCUCUCCUCCCACAGUGUGGGUCCUAGGGACCUAGGGAUUGAACUCAGAGCAUUAGGCUUGGUAGCAAGCACCGUUACCCACUGAGUCAUCUUACAGAGACAGCCAAUUUAUUAACAUCAAGCACAUUUCAGGGUGUGAUACAUGAGGAAAUAGAAAACAAAGUGUAGAAUAAUAAGUCCUAUGAUGCUGUUUGUUUAAAAGAAAAGGGAACAGCAGGGCCUGGUGUCACACACCUGUAAUCCCAGCACUUGGCAGGUGAAGGCAGGAGGAUCGGGAGUUCAAGGUCACCCUCAGGUAUAUAACAAACUUGAGGCCAGCCUGGGCUACAUGAUAGUCUCUUGAUUGUGAGGAGGGGUGGAGAAGAAACAGGCAGACAGACAGGGCUUUUCCUAUAUAUACAUAUGUACCAGGCUGGCUACAAGAGACUACUAAUGGGCUGGAGAGAUGGCUCAGCGGUUAAGAGCACUGACUGCUCUUACGAAGGUCCUGAGUUCAAUUCCCAGCAACUACAUGGUAGGUCACAACCAUCUGCAAUGAUAUCUUUUUAAAAAAAUGAGAGAAAGGUUGCUAGCAAUGCCAGGGAGGAGGUGGGACAUAGACUCCAAUGAAAAACACAGUGACAAAUGGCCAAGCUCCAGUGAUGCCUGUCAAGCCACUGGGCACCCUGGCCCCUCCACUUGCCCUUUGUACCUCCAUUCCUGUGUGCUUUUGCACAUUGAGGUCCCUGUGCCAGGGGUGGGGCUAGCAGGAUCCUGGCUAUUGGCUGAGGGGUGUUCUAGGCUGUCCAUUCCGAAGCAUCCUCACUUGCCUUCCCAUGGCCUGGCCUCUCACUGUGGAUUCAUUGGUGACAAAACAGAGGAAUGGGGUCCAAGUGUUGAGUACGCCUACUUCAGGAGAUGGGACUGGACUCUGCCGAUCUGAGAUGACCCCUCCCAACACUGUUCUAUCCCUGUCCAGACCCCUGGGUUCUGGCACUAAUAGGCUCAUCCAGGAUCUACAGCAUUCAGAUGGUCAUAGACGGCUCCACCUCUUCCUCUUCACUUCUUCAAGGACGACCCUGCCCAGGUCUGUGCCACAAAGCCAGCCCACAGCACCCUGCUCUACAGUGAACCUUCUUUGUUUUUCAGACUCUGACACCGACUGGCUGUGUGAUCCUGGACAGACUGCAUCACCUCAUGGACAUUUUUUCAUCUGUGAGGGGAAGAUUUCCUGGCAGUGGUCUGAGAAAUGGUGGCAAGGACUGAAGGAGUUACAUGCAUGGAGAGUACUGUACCACCAGUUGGGCAGAGAUGGAAUUGCACUUCUUUUUGCUCUGUCUUUUCAUCAUCUUAGAAGUGGGUGGAGCCUCCUCUUCAUAAUUCCUACAGGGUUUAAUACUGAGGAGAAACUUUGUAAAGUAAAGGAUUUUUAGGGUUGGGGCGGUGGCACAGUAGGUAAAGCGCUCGCUGUGUCAGCCUGAGGACCCGGGCUGGUACUUACAACAAAGCAUGGUAUGAUCAUCAAUAAUGCCAGCACAGUUGCAUAACGACGGGCACAUCCCCGGGGAAUCAGCUGCCAGCCAAUCUCAUGCUAGGUUCAGUGAGCAAUUUCUCCCCAAAAAUAAGCUGGAGAAGGACAGAGGAUGACGCUGAACUUUGACCUCUGGCCUCCACACACAUGCAUGAGUGAGUGCACCCACAUCAACACACACACACACAUGUGAAAAACAAAUCUUUUAAAAUAAUAAUAUGGGUCCCUAAGUACUGGAAUUGAGAACAGUGCCUACAUCCCAACGUUUGUAAGAUGUCAGUGGACUGCAGAAUAAGUGUGGGGAUAGUCCUCAUGGUAAUUAUUUGAAGUUUCUUUCGGGCGGUAGUAAAUGUCAAAUUCUUUCCAUUAA